CCCGGUUGAGGAAAAGCCAACAAAGCCAGCGCCUGAAGAGAGUGGCGCUCCUCCUCAAGAACCAACUGGAGCGAAGGACAAGACACCCCCACCUCCAACCUCCAGCAACAAGGAGCCAGAACCAUCACCCCCAACUCCAGGCCCAGAAGACUGUACUCCAGGCUGGUCUGAUUGGUACGAUGAGCAAUAUCCUGAUGAAGAAAAUGGCGGAGAUGAGGAAUCUUACCAGAAGGUCAUAGCCUCAGGGAAAGUGGUUUGUUUGCCUGACUCACCAGUGCAAAACAUUGAAUGCAAAGCAGAGAGAUUCCCCAAUACCCCAUGGCAGGAAUUGGGCCAGACAAUCACUUGUGACAAGAAUAAAGGACUGAAAUGUGUAAAUGAGGAUCAAGGAGGACUGCCAUGUUACAACUACAAGGUCAGAUUCUGCUGCUCCAGAGCAGGUGGACCUCCUGCACCAAGUCCAUCUUCACGAAGCCCAGAACCAACUGCGCCGAAGGA